rnacentral:rRNA from 1 species
GACGAACGCUGGCGGCGUGCUUAACACAUGCAAGUCGAACGGAAAGGCCUCUUUCGGGGGGUACUCGAGUGGCGAACGGGUGAGUAACACGUGAGUAACCUGCCCUUGACUUUGGGAUAACUUCAGGAAACUGGGGCUAAUACCGGAUAGGAGCUCCUGCUGCAUGGUGGGGGUUGGAAAGUUUCGGCGGUUGGGGAUGGACUCGCGGCUUAUCAGCUUGUUGGUGGGGUAGUGGCUUACCAAGGCUUUGACGGGUAGCCGGCCUGAGAGGGUGACCGGCCAACUUGGGGUCUGAGAGACGGCCGAGACUCAGAGGGGGGGAGGCAGGGGGAAAUUUUGACCAAGGGGUGGGGGCCUGAGGCAGCAGCCCCUUGGGGGGGAUGACGGCGUUGGGGUUGAAACCCGCUUUCGCUCAGGACGAUGCUUUGUGGGAGGGUAGUGGAAAAAGAAGCCCGGGCUAACUCCGUC